rnacentral:rRNA from 1 species
UACGUAGGGGCCGAGCGUUGUCCGGAAUUACUGGGCGUAAAGCGCGCGCAGGCGGCUGAUCAAGCCUGACGUGAAAGCCCCCGGCUCAACCGGGGAGAGUCGUCGGGGACUGGUUGGCUUGAGGGCGGUAGGGGCCGGUGGAAUUCCCGGUGUAGUGGUGAAAUGCGUAGAGAUCGGGAGGAACACCAGUAGCGAAGGCGGCCGGCUGGGCCGACCCUGACGCUGAGGCGCGAAGGCGUGGGGAGCGAAC